rnacentral:rRNA from 1 species
UUGUCGUUAGUUGCUAACGGUUCCGGCCGAGCACUCUAACGAGACUGCCGGUGUUAAACCGGAGGAAGGUGGGGAUGACGUCAAGUCCUCAUGGCCCUUAUGCCCAGGGCUACACACGUGCUACAAUGGCCGGUACAAAGCGUCGCUAACCCGCGAGGGGGAGCCAAUCGCAAAAAACCGGCCUCAGUUCAGAUUGCAGUCUGCAACUCGACUGCAUGAAGUCGGAAUCGCUAGUAAUCCCUGAUCAGCAGGCAGGGGUGAAUACGUUCCCGGGCCUU